CUCAAAACAUCGCAUCUGUGCCUUUUCACUCAAAACCAAACAUCGCAGCACUAACGAGUCUCCGGCCAAACAAUACAAAAAGAGGGCGGAGUCUGAGAAACGAGUCGAAUACAUCGAAAACAUCACCGUUGAGUGGAAUACAGGCCCAUUUCCCCUUCAUCUCUUCGAGCUCCGUGGUUCAUCCUGCCAGUCGUCCUUGUGCAGUUACCCGCCAGCAGCCGAUGUCGCCAGUUCGCCAGUUGCCAGUUACCAGUUGCCAGUUGCCAGUUGCCAGUUACCAGUUACCAGUUGGGACAAAUAAAUCUUAGUCAUCAGCAGCAGGCUGCUGGCCAAGAUCAGCUUGGCCAAAGUCCAGCUUCCAUUCCGUGCUUCAAGUGCGGCACUUUUGCAGCAUUUCCAGCGGAACGACGACGACAACGACAACAGCAACUUGGAAUCCAAUUUGAUUUAUGGCGCAAAUUUUAUUGUCUGGACAGUAAAACAGUUGACCAGUUGACCAGUUGACCAGACCAACUUGUUAGCCACUCUAACAGUAAAAAGUCGAAAGUGCCUCUGUGUUGGUGAAUCGUGCGCGUGUCAUGUGUUGCUGUUGCUGAUGUUGCUGUUGCUGUUGCUGUUGGUGUUGCCGCCUUAGCUGCAAUAUUUGUUGCUGCUGACGGUGUCGCUGCUGCUGCUGCUGCUGUGACAUUGACUUUUGAUAAAGUUUUCCACCAUCCACCAUAUCCAUAUCUCUAUCCACACACACGGAGUGUGCAACUUUGUGUAUAAAUUAUAUUAUGAAAAUAAAAACAUAAAUAUCAACUCAAACAACUGAAACAACUUUCGCUUUGGACCGCAAAAAGAACAAAUUGGUAACACCGAAAAUGAGCUGGAAAAAGUUUGUUGGGUCAACAAGUAAAGCUUGAAAGUUUAGUAAUUUGUUUAAAACGGGACGAAGAAUGACUGAAAACUAUGACUUCUGUGGCCCCCAAGGCGAGUCGACUCGAGUUGAAAGUGGAAGUCAAACCCUUGGAAUUGAAAACGGAUGGCGGAUGGCGGAUGGCGGAUGGAGGACGGUGGAGAUCCCCCGGCAAAUGGCAACAUGUUGCACAUGCACUCGCCAAAAAGCAAUUUGCAUACAAAUGUUGCCAAGGCACUUCACAUACUGCACAAUCACGGUGUUGGUGAGAGGGGCGGGAUGGUGCACCAGGGGGCGGGCGGUUGUUGCAGCGGAAAAGGGGUAAAAGCCGCUUCAUAAUUUGAUAUUAAACAUGCACGCGUCUCCCCUCUGGCCCAACUUGUAAAUUUGCAAAUUGCUAAAAUGCAUGACAGGAACAAAGGCAACGUUCGGGGGUGGCCGGGAGGGGGGCAGGACACAAGACUGGGCAGCUGCGUGAAUUUGCAUUUACAUGAAGGAACCGCAGGACGGGAAAGGACCACAAAAAGUUACCCAAAUUCAGCUUCAAAAAAAAAAAGAAAUAAAAGAGAACUCUGCUCAAUUGACUUUCAAUUGCAAAAUAAACAGAGUACACUGGGAGAAAUAUUAAAGGCGUUAAGGUAGAAUUAUUAAGAAAGGUAGAAGAUUAUCUAAAAACUAUUAUUUUUGUGAUAAAACCUACUACUAUUUCAAGAUACAUGACUUUUAGUUUAUUUUCUCCCCCCAAUUUUUCUCCGUGCCUUUUGUCCAAGACAAAAGACAAACCCAAAUGAAUUUAUUUUCCGUUUUAUUCUCAAUCUGCUUUUUGUCCGUCAUAUGAUUGACAUGCUCGAUUGAACGAUUGAACGAGGGGAGUGGGCUCUUUGGAGAAGCGAUCCACAUAUCGUUUAUUUUUGGCGGCAAGUGUUUGCCUUCGAUUUGCAAGUUUUGUUAAUACUGCACUCGAAGCUGCCCCGGAACACCUCAACUGGAGAGGAUCUCUCCAGUUCUUUAAUAAGCUUCAAAAAUAAAGAAGAGAAACACUUUUUUAUAUCAGAUUUGUACACGCAAUAAUAACACACAUAUACUACAUAAUGUGUGUAGUGUAGUGUAGUGGCCUGUAAGGGGGUACCUUUGUAAAUCAUAUUUAUGAGACAUUUCCCUUCGCUGGAAUAAAAAAACAUAAAAAUAAAAAACAAAAUAAAACAUGGGAAUGUUAAGUAGGCACGCAAUGUGCGAGUGAGAUGGCCUGAAAAUGCGUCAACUCGCACUCUCUCUCUCUCGAGCCACCCAAUUUCCCAGCCCCCACCCCCACAGAAAAGGGGGGAAAACAAUAAUCAAUAAGUAAUACCCGCCAGAAACAGAAACUAAAAAGAAAGUCACCCUCGUUUUUCCCAUUUCCCGCCCCCUCUUUUUCUCUCUCUCUGUCAUAUGUGUGGGUAGUUCAUAACUUUUCUCUCUUGAUAGCCCAUGUGUGUGCGUAUGUGUGUGGGUGUGGUGGUUUUCUUGGCCCGCUCCUCGCAGGACUUCCGGCGUUUGACAGCCAUGUUUGUCCUUACCACACACACACACACACACACAAGCUCACAUGAUUGUAGGCGUCGCCAUGUGGCACCCCAAAAAGUGUGCCACUAACUUUUGUUUUUUUGGCCAAAAAAAGAAAACCUAAAAGAAGUUGGUCUGCUGACACAGAUCGGCGUGGGAACGAGCGAGAUAAGCGGCAUGAAUGAGCAAAUUUCGGACUCACCUACCUGCCUUCUAAUAAUUUUAACACUUUUAUGAUGGCCUUAUAGGCUUACUAAUAUGAAGCUUACUUCUAAAACCCUUAUUUUUUUGCUAAAAAAAAAAGAGAAAACCAAUUUAGGCCCAAACUGAUUUAUUGUUAAAAAUUUCAUUGAAAUUCAUGAGGCUUUCGGGAUGGGCCUCUGAAAAAAAUAAAGGGCGUGGCCCAAGCGUGUAGCUGCUCCUACGCAAUGUCCAAGAUUUAUUUGAAUGGAACGAAGGGAAAUUUCAAUAUUUUCCGAAUUUCUAUAAUAGAAAAGGAGGAACCAUAACCAUAACCAGAGUCUGGAAAAAAAAAAAAUAUAUAAAAGAAAUAAUAAUAAAUAGAAUUCUGUGGGGAGAUUAUGAAAAGAGCUGUUGAUGUAUGAAUUGUAUGGCCCUCUCAUAAAUCUAGGGGCCCUGUCAAGGUGUCCGAAUACUUUUGUUAAUGUCUGUAUGUGUGUUAUGAGUGUGUGGUGUUCAAGUGGCAGUCAUAAAUUUGAAAUUUAUGUUCAUCUCUCGUUUGGAUUUCGAAUGCCAUAGUUUUUUUACGUUUUUGGUAAAGAGAACCUGCCCCACAAUAAAAAAAAAAACUCUUUCCUCGCUUGUUAAUUAAAUGCGAUUGCAUCAUCGCAUCAUCCAUCUGUAUCUAUUCUCUCUUUUUUUAAUAUUUUUUUUUUUUUUUUUUUUUAAAUUUUAUCAAGCUAUGACUGGACAGAAAUUGUCGCUAAUCGCUCCUCAUGUACCUUAAGACAUGGCGCAUUUGUCUUUGUCUUUUUUCGGCUUUGCCGGCUUUGACACAUUUUUCUUAUGAAUUUUCUGUAUUUUUCCUCUCAAAUUUAUUUUUUUAGUAUUUUGUGGGAUGUUUGUUCUGGCCGCCAAAAUUGCUUGUCGAGCAUUUGUUGGACAUGUUUUUGUACUUUUGCUGAACAUUUUAAGCAGAUUCUCAGCCACACUCAAAAAAAAUAAAUAAAAGAAAAAUAAACCAAAACCGUUAAAACAUAAAAAUCAACUCUUUAGAGCUCAUUAAACAACAGUGAGAUACUCACUCGCUGGCUGGCAAAUAAAAAAGCCAAAAGUUGACCUUCAAAAACGCACCGAAUUCAAAUGGCAGCUCAGCGAAGCGAAAAUCGCCAACAAAAGUCAGAACUUGGAGCUUGGAAACAGGUUGUUCCAUAUCCCCCCCUCUCUCUCUCUCACUCUAUUGUUAACUUUUUUAUGCUUUUUUCAAGCGGAAAGAACCAAAAUAAAAAAAAAAAAAGAGAAAAUAUAUGUAAAGUUGAAACAAUUUGCUGUGCGAUUGCAUUUUAACGAUUAUUUACGAUCAAAAGUGAGUGAGUUUGCGGUGAGUUGGCAAGUGACCUUGUGCCGCUGCACUUGACACGUGCCAGAAAUUGAUAAUGAGAGGGGGCUUUAAGGUGUUAAUCACACUCUGGGCCAGGCAACUAAAAAAAAACAACCAAAAAAGGCGCCAAAAAAUAAUAUUAUAAUCAUAAAUGGUGCUACGCUGAUUUCUUCUUUUUUAGGAGUAUCUACAUAUAUAUUUCUAUUUUUUUUCUUUGAAGCUUUAGCUCUCCAGCUAUAGUUGUUGUUUUUGUUGUUGUUGUUGCUGGUGGGGCACUUGAAAAGUCGUGUGCGAGUUGUUGUUUACUUUUUCGGGGGGGGCUUCGUCGGCCUUCGCUCGUGAGUCUUACGGUAAAUAUGAAAACCAACAGAAAAAAAAACUACGCUCGUCGCGCGUAUCUAGAUAAAUAUCUGUGAGAUACACUUGAGGCCAGGCCAGCAGCUACUGUAUGUACGCACGGCGACUGCGAACGCUGGCAGCGACGCCAGCAGAAGGGGUUUCUAAAAAUUGGGUUGGGAAUUAUAGAGCUUGGAAGAAGUGAUCAUCAGAAAUGUAUCUUUCAGUUUUCUUUUUGUAUCUUUUUUGAGAUUGCGCAACUGGGAAUGAGGUCUAUAUACCUCAGCCCUUAUCUGAUCUGUAGAAUCGUCUGUAUCUGCUAUAUUUAUGACCGCUGUUGCCCCGCUUAUAUCUCUGGGCUUG